rnacentral:rRNA from 1 species
GUCCACGCCGUAAACGUUGGGAACUAGGUGUGGGCGACAUUCCACGUUGUCCGCGCCGCAGCUAACGCAUUAAGUUCCCCGCCUGGGGAGUACGGCCGCAAGGCUAAAACUCAAAGGAAUUGACGGGGGCCCGCACAAGAGGCGGAGCAUGUGGCUUAAUUCGACGCAACGCGAAGAACCUUACCAAGGCUUGACAUAUGCCGGACAGCCUCAGAGAUGGGGUUUCCUUAGGGUCGGUGUACAGGUGGUGCAUGGCUGUCGU